rnacentral:rRNA from 1 species
UACAGAGGGUGCAAGCGUUGUUCGGAAUUAUUGGGCGUAAAGCGCGUGUAGGCGGCUUUGCAAGUCGGGUGUGAAAGCCCUCAGCUCAACUGAGGAAGUGCGCCCGAAACUGCAGAGCUUGAGUGCCGGAGAGGGUGGCGGAAUUCCCCAAGUAGAGGUGAAAUUCGUAGAUAUGGGGAGGAACACCGGUGGCGAAGGCGGCCACCUGGACGGUGACUGACGCUGAGACGCGAAAGCGUGGGGAGCAAACGGG